rnacentral:lncRNA from 1 species
GCAUGGUGGACUGCGAUAAAAUGCAGCAGAAAGAUCCUAAAGAACGUACUUGAAACCUUAAUCCAACGACCAAUAGGUGAUGUCCAGAAGAUUGUAACCCCAUUUACUCAGCCAAUGAGGAACUGGGGGAGGGACCUGCAUACUAGGGGAUAAAUUGCUUGUUGAAACUCUGCUGGGGGUGGCUGCAUGCCAGCCAGACACCCAAUCUUGCAAGACUGUCAUUGAAAAUCCCCACUUUGCUGCUCUCCGGGUCUCUGCGUCCAGUCUUUGGGUUUGGACGGACCUGCUGAGCCAUCUUUCUGCAAGAAGAUAAAGGAAGACCAGGAAUGCCUGCCGAACUCCUACGAAGGAAGUCUAGGAGAGGAAGGGGACAGGGAGGAAGAUGGUGUCUGCAAACCAGGAAGCAGCCUUGCCAGACAUGGGAUUGGCCACAACCUUGACCCCAGACUUCCAGCCUCCAGAGCUGUGAGAAAUAAAUGUCCAUUUUGACUACGGGCUCAGGGCAUGGGGGAACUGGUUCCAGACCUGCCUCCUGGGAAGCUGGGAGGGGGCAUUUCAACCUGUUAAUUUCUCAAAUUAUAUAGUCAUU